AUAUUGGACAAUGGGCGAAAGCCUGAUCCAGCAAUGCCGCGUGAGUGAUGAAGGCCUUAGGGUUGUAAAGCUCUUUUACCAGGGAUGAUAAUGACAGUACCUGGAGAAUAAGCUCCGGCUAACUCCGUGCCAGCAGCCGCGGUAAUACGGAGGGAGCUAGCGUUGUUCGGAAUUACUGGGCGUAAAGCGCGCGUAGGCGGUUUUUUAAGUCAGAGGUGAAAGCCCAGUGCUCAACACUGGAACUGCCUUUGAAACUGGAAAACUUGAAUCUUGGAGAGGUCAGUGGAAUUCCGAGUGUAGAGGUGAAAUUCGUAGAUAUUCGGAAGAACACCAGUGGCGAAGGCGACUGACUGGACAAGUAUUGACGCUGAGGUGCGAAAGCGUGGGGAGCAAACAGG
rnacentral:rRNA from 1 species